GCGAUUCAGUGUAGACGUUGAUAUGGCCUGGGACCAGUCAUACUGAAGAUGGAUUUCACAGUCAAAUAGCAUAAAGAAGAAAUUUCAAAUCAGCAAUUCAGUCAGAAGAAAACAUUGUAUUUACAUUGACUGAAAUGGAGGAAGAACGUGCUCAGGAAGUGCCCUGUCAGCAGUAAACAAAUCAUGGAGCCAAACAGCCAAGGCAAGAAGCACGCAGGGCUGGAUGUUACACCUUACUUCACGGUUCUGACUUUGUUCUUGGAGGGUCGCAUGGUUGAAUUCUUCCAGAGAGGAUUCCAAUGUACCAAAAUGGUCGCAUCAAAGUCACAAAAGUAAACUGUCCCUCAACGUAUUGAAAAUGAUUCUCUGUAAAGGAACUCUGCCAUUGAGGAGUGAAGAUAAAAGUUCAACACUGAUCACAAAAGUAGCCCUGGCAACCCAUUCUAGUGGCAAUCAUGAAUUUUGGCUCAUUCUCUACUCUUAACCUGCUGACUCACUGUGAUUGCCAACAUUAUAUUGUAAGAAUCCCCUGGAGGCUGAGGAUUGGCGUGCAACUCAUUCAUGAGAAACAUGACAACCAUGUUAGUCUUCAUCCAAAGAAAAAUUCAACUAAUCAGACUUAUUUCCUAAUUCCAAUGUAGGUAUUGCUUGUAAUAUGGUGUGAAAUUAGC